AACAUCAGAAGCGAUUCAUUAUUUUUAUAAACGAAGUUCGCUUUGGGCUGCUAAUAGAAAACAAAAUCUUAAUCUUAAUCUCCUUUUGUUGAUAUAUCUUCUCUCAAUUUAGUUUUAAGUCAUUCCUGCUGUUGAGAUGGAAUCCAACAAUAUUGUGGUAAAAACUGAAACUGAUAAUAACUGUGUGGCUGGAACUGACAGUUUCAAUAAACUAGAAAUCACAAGUGCGAAGACUGGAUUCGCAGACGAAGAUGAAUGCCAUAUACAAUCAGGGGAAUCAAUAGCGAUCAA